AUUUAUUUUAUUUAAUUAAAUAAAAAAGAAAUUUAAUUAAAUUUUUAUUUAAUAAAACAUAUAUUUUACACUACACUAUCAAGAACCUGUAACGGUGCCGUACACCUCCCCCAUUGUGCAACUGUACAUGUCAGAAAAGACCCACCCUGUCAGAAUUGACACCCGAUCCCAACAAAUAGAAUACACUCCAUUCAGGGAAUUCCAGUCGGCCUGAAGAAGAGCAAAGAGAUCGCUUGAAAAUGUUUGUCAACAGCGAUAUAUAGUAUAUAUGCAUUACGCACAGGUUACAGGUUCCGGAUAGUGUAGUGUAAGUUUCACCACAGUGCUUAGUUUGGAAUAGUUUCUGUACAUAUAUUUUAGCUUCCAAGAAACUUGAAUGCUUGUUUAAUUAUCAAUUUAUCUAUAUUUAGCUGUCACAUUUUCAGAAUUAUUUAUGUAAUUUUGAGUAUUUUCAUUUUGAAUAUUUCAUUUAUGUAAUUAGUUACCAAUAGAUGGCCAAAUAUUAUAAUUUCCAGAAAAUAUCAAAUAAUUGUGGAAGAUGGUAGAAAUAAGGAAGGAAUCAAUAAACAACACUUAUUAGACUAUUACAGUGCCACACUUGCUAAAAUACCAUAUUACAUUACUGCUGAAUUAAAUGCUAAGGAUCUUCCAAAAGAAGAUUAUCACUAUUUUGUAGUAGGAGAUCAAAAGAUGUAUGGAAAAUAUAAAAAUGUUCGUUUAUCUCCAGGAGUGUUGUAUAAUAUUCGAAUUAGAAUAAUUAGUGCUAAGAUGCAGUCAUCUAUCUCUGAAGCAAAACAGCAUGUUAUUGUUAGUUAUCAAAGUGAUGAGAAAUUUGAAAAGUUCCUAUUUGGAUUACCCUUUUUACAUUUUAUCUUCAUAAUCCUUGGAAUGUUAGUUCUGCUCAUAGUUGUUAUUUUUAUUGUUGGAUUAAAAGUUCAUAAAUAUUGGUAA